rnacentral:rRNA from 1 species
UACGAAGGUGGCAAGCGUUGUUCGGAUUUACUGGGCGUACAGGGAGCGUAGGCGGUUGGGUAAGCCCUCCGUGAAAUCUCCGGGCCUAACCCGGAAAGUGCGGAGGGGACUGCUCGGCUAGAGGAUGGGAGAGGAGCGCGGAAUUCCUGGUGUAGCGGUGAAAUGCGCAGAUAUCAGGAAGAACACCUGUGGCGAAGGCGGCUCUCUGGGACGGUACUGACGCUGAGACGCGAAAGCGUGGGGAGCGAACAGG